rnacentral:rRNA from 1 species
CUACACGAAGCUGGAAUCGCUAGUAAUCGCGGAUCAGAAUGCCGCGGUGAAUACGUUCCCGGGUCUUGUACACACCGCCCGUCACACCAUGGGAGUCAGUAACGCCCGAAGUCAGUGACCUAACCGAAAGGGAGGAGCUGCCGAAGGCGGGACGGAUGACUGGGGUGAAGUCGUAACAAGGUAAC